rnacentral:lncRNA from 1 species
AGGGGUUAUCCAUCUUACAUUCCGCUUCUAUUGCUUCAUGACAUGAACCAGCAGCCAAGUCUUGAACUUCUGCUAGUACUGGAGGUGGUGAAGGUUGCCUGAUGAUAUGGUUGUCAAUAACACUUUCGGAUUCUUCGAAAGAAAUCAUGGAUGAAAGCUCUUCGGUGUAAUUUUUCUGGAUAUUUUCACUUGGUGUAGAAGUUGAUUCCACAACUGGCCUCUCAGGUUCGUUUUUAUUGCCGUUUGUUAUCAUUGGUUUGCUAUCCACGAAUUGUCGUUGGAAGCUGUUUCCCAUAGACAGCAUCAGUAGAGAAAGUGAACACAUAAGCGUGAGAUUAUCAAGUAACAAGAGCGAAAAAUGUAAGCAUAUUAAACAAAAUCUCAUGAUCUGCAGAAUGAAAAUGUACAAUUUGCUUUAAAACCAGCUAGAUGGUCAAACCUUGGGAUUUCAACUGGUGCAAAAUCUAUAUUGCUCGGAUACUGAACCUGAUAAUAGAACAAAAAGGACAUCAGCUUAGUGUGAAGAAGUGCAUUAAAAAGUAGCAUGAUAUAUAAUACCUUAAUGUCAAUCUUGGGAGGCUGCCACUGUGCACGGAGUCCACCUGGACCCAAGAUAGAAUGCUUGGAAAGGGAUUCCUCUGUUGGUCGCAUCAAGUUAACUGACCUAGAAAAUCGUGCAUCAAAUAAAAAAAAACUAUGAGACAGUAUCAGGAAACCAGUGUAAGAAAUAUAGCUUAGAUUGAGGACAGCUUCAAGGAGAAAAAUUGAAGACAUACAUCUUUCGGAAACGCUCUUCAAGUGGUGCAGCGUUCAAGAGUUGCUGACCCCUGGAACCCAUGUAGCCAAAAUUAUGUCCAGAAGGAUUUAGUACCUAUGCAGAACAAGAGCAACAGAAAAAGGAGCAGGAAAUGUUUAUCUACUGAAGCUUAAAAUUUCGCAUCAUAACGUCUUCUUUUACUAAUUGAAACCAAAAGUUUCGAAACAAACAAGAGUGGAAAAUAAUGCAUAAUUAAUAGAAAUACGUAUAGGCAUGGCAUAUGCGACAAACACGAUUAGAGCAUAUAAAGCACACCUUCGCAUGAUCAUAGCUACUUAUCGAUGGUUUUACAGCGGAAGACCAACGUGGAGUACCAUUUGCGGGAUGAGCUUGCACACUAUAUCGAGGUAAAGGCUUAGGAUUAAGUUCAUCGAUCCUUUGCUGUACAACUGGUUUCAACUUCUCCAGCUCGGUCAAUACAUCCAAUAGUCUCUAGAAUAGACAAAAAAAGCUCACAUUUAACUACCGAUAAACAGACAAAACAUAAACAUUGACAAGGGAGGAUCAUUAAGGAUAUAUAUAAACACACAAAACAUAAAAGAAAGCAAAGUUUGACAUUGUUCUUUUGUUUCCAAAUAUGAUCUGCACGGAGUCAAAUCACCAGCGUAUUUCCUUCUCCAGUGAUCUUGGCCAAUCAGAUAACGCAUCAGAACCACCAGCCCUUAUCCGAAGAGACGAAUCUCUUCUUGAUUCAUCAAACUCUUCUUUCGAGUUCCACAUCUCAAACAACUUUGAUCCUGGAGACUCCUCACCAGCCGAUGAGAUCUUCGCUGACGGCAUGAUCCUCCCUUUCCAUGUAACCCCACCUUCCACCGCACCAAAACGUCUCUACAAAUACGAACUCCCUCCCAUUACCUCCUCUCUUUCUCCAUCUCCUCUCCCUCCACAACCAUUACCGACAAAACACGGCGAGAAGGACACCAGCGGUGCAAACUCGGACUCAGAAGCAGAGAAGUCGUCAAAGUCGUUUUGGAGUUUCAAGAGAAGCUCGAGUCUCAACUGCGACUUAAAGAAGAGUCUGAUCUGUUCGUUUCCUCGUCUCACGAGAAGCAACUCUACAGGUUCGGUUACUAAUUCAAAGAGAGCAAUGCUGAGAGAUGUUAACAACCAUAGGGUCUCUCCCACUUCUUCUUCUUCUUCUUCCUCUGUCUGUUGCAACUAUCACUUCAGGCCUCAGAAGCACGCAGGAAAGAAAGGUGAAGCAGGAGGAGGAAGCUUUUCGGUUAUUCCAGUCCUCAGUGGUCCGUCUACGUUUGGGUUAGGAUCGUUUCUACGUCACUCAAAGAAGAAGAAGAACAAGAAGUAGUAGAUGGUUACAUGAACAGAGAGUCUCGAUAAAUUGUUUUUAUUUCCUCGUUUGAUUGUUGUCUACAUAUUGUUGGGUGUUUUUUCGUGUUACUACUAAACGUUUUAGGUUGCUGUAUUAUUUGAACUGGACACAACCUUAAUGACACAUUUAGCAAUCAGACUGAAGUGGUCAUAUCUAACAGAAGCUACUUGUAACACAAUGAAUUUUAUUGCGAAUAAUACCAAGUUUUUUUGUUGAUACAAAAGGACUCUUUUCUUUGAAUUGUCAAUGAAGAGACAAGUAAGAUGUGGGUAGCACCAAUGUCCUACAAAAUCUCUAUAUACACACCAGAGAUGGUACGUGAACAUAUAAAAAUUUAAGAUGAUUUAAUAUAUAGAGUUGUAUUAACUGAAUAAGAUGUGUUAAAAGACUAGCUUUAAAGCCAAGAAUAACUUGACCCGUUUACUAAAUAAAGUCUUUUAAGUUAUUUAACUGAUUAACAUAACUUUUUUUUUGUGUUUGAGAAGUUGGACAUGACAUGUUCCCCAUUUGAAUCAGAAGACGACAAAAAUCACAAAUAACCAUCUGCUCAAAGCCAAGUCUAACUUGACCCGUUUACUUAAUUAAGACUUUUAAGUUAUUUAAGUGAUUAACAUAACAUUUUGUGAUUGAGAAAUUGGACAUGACAUGUUCGCCAUUUGUAUCAGAAGAGGCGACAAAAAUCACAAAAUAUUUGUGAUUUGUAUUACAUUUUUCCCAUCAAUAUACAUACGUGCUUUUUGGAUACAUAUUGUGAGCUUGUUUAAUAAGAUACAACAAUUACUUCAAAUUUUUCUCGUUUUUUUAAUUAUUUUUCACAAAAUUACAUGUAGAUUGUACAUAAGCUUACGUAGAUCAUAUUAAAAUGGUAAAGGAAGAUACCGUAGUCUCACAAGUCCAGUGAUGCUAUCUGAGAUCGAUGACAUCGAACUUUAGAUUUGGGUUCAUGUAAACAUCCGUACAUGUAUUGUAAAUCGGUCCUCCGUCUGCCGGCGAACUGUGUGCGUGAAAGCCACGCUGGUCACAGUUUCUUAUCACCGUCAUCCCUCCCGGAGUUGUCAGCCGGAAUAUUCCAUGUUUCCUAAGAAGACAGAACCAGUUUAUGGUUUCUCGAAUCAUUUCAUGUUGAAAUAUAAAGAUAAGGUUUUGGUCUUUAAUACCUUGAAGAGUCUUGCGGGGCCAUGACGAUUGCCACAGCUUCCGGUAACAUAAUCUGAGAAACAUUGUAUAAGAGCAUAAAGAGAUGAACCCAUUGUUGACAUCGUGUUAUGCAAAUUAUUUCGAACGAUUAUUUCCGUACCUGGUAUGAAUAGUGCGUGUGUACAUCGAUAGAUGACAUGAAACAAGACUGUGUCGGAUGCGUCUGAAGAAUUAGAGACAGUGAUCAACAAGUCAGUAGAGAAAUAUAAGACACCACUUCGCCAAUGAAAACGAUCUUCAAGCAUAAAGCAGUUAAAAAUGGAGAUAGAAAAACAUGUAUAUGCUACUCACAUGAAUCCAUCCAAGUGGGAAAAGAGAUUGCUUGUCCUGUACUUCAAAUAUCUCCUCCUCGUUUGUGGCCUGACACUGUAAAGAGAACGAGAUAUGACAGUGUUUAAGAUUGGCAUAGCUAAUGAAUGAAUUAACUAAGUUGACAUUCCAAAACAAGACUUACCGAGUCAGAUGUUGAUUCCUGUUUUGGUAUGAUGAGAGCUGUAAUAUAGAACUUUCUGUUUUUCUGCAACCAUGUGAUUCACAAAUCAUUAUGAGCUGAUCCAUUUCAAUAUUGCUUUUUUCAGAUUUGAGAAACAGAAGGCCAUUGGCAUAUAACAACUCACUAGUGAACCAGCAAGAAUACCACACGUCUCUAGAUUCUUCUUGGUGUUUGACUUGGCAAGCCUCAAAAAUGUAUCCAUCAUUGUUGUCGCCUAAAAAUAAGGUUAUUAUCAAAAAUAUACGAAGGCAACUGGAUAUAUGAGCAUAAAACCAGAGGCUGCUAACAAACUUUUUCUCAGUCUAUUUUAUCUUUCUGUAGAUAAUGAAACAAUGCUUACGUGAGAAACGAAAAAAAAAAUGAUAUGUAUGUAUUGUCGAAGUCAUAUAGGACAAACGAACAAGAUAAAUCAUUCACGACAAAUCACCAAUGGAUGCAUUCUAAAUUCACUUUUCUCCCUAAUAUUUGAAUGAGUUUUGACGUCAGAAUAACAACAAAGAGGGGAGAGAGCUAUAGCAAACUUACAAUAUGGAGUUCAAGAGGAGACUCUGACCGUAGAGACUCAUCAGGUAAGGGGUUAUCCAUCUUACAUUCCGCUUCUAUUGCUUCAUGACAUGAACCAGCAGCCAAGUCUUGAACUUCUGCUAGUACUGGAGGUGGUGAAGGUUGCCUGAUGAUAUGGUUGUCAAUAACACUUUCGGAUUCUUCGAAAGAAAUCAUGGAUGAAAGCUCUUCGGUGUAAUUUUUCUGGAUAUUUUCACUUGGUGUAGAAGUUGAUUCCACAACUGGCCUCUCAGGUUCGUUUUUAUUGCCGUUUGUUAUCAUUGGUUUGCUAUCCACGAAUUGUCGUUGGAAGCUGUUUCCCAUAGACAGCAUCAGUAGAGAAAGUGAACACAUAAGCGUGAGAUUAUCA